rnacentral:rRNA from 1 species
CCUACGGGAGGCAGCAGUGGGGGAUAUUGCACAAUGGGGGGAACCCUGAUGCAGCGACGCCGCGUGGGUGAAGAAGGGCCUCGGCGCGUAAAGCCCUGUCAGCAGGGAAGAAACUGAAGGUAACUGAUGAAGAAGCCCCGGCUAACUACGUGCCAGCCGCCGCGGUAAUACGUAGGGGGCAAGCGUUAUCCGGAUUUACUGGGUGUAAAGGGGGCGCAGACGGGGAUGCAAGCCAGGAGUGAAAUCCCGGGGCCCAACCCCGGGACUGCUACUAGAACUGGGUGGCUUGAGUGGAGGAGGGGCAGGCGGAAUUCCUGGUGUAGCGGUGAAAUGCGUAGAUAUCAGGAGGAACACCAGUGGCGAAGGCGGCUUGCUGGACUGUAACUGACGUUGAGGCCCGAAAGUGUGGGGAGCAAACAGGAUUAGAUACCCGAGUAGUC